UUUUUACACAAUCAUUUAUGUAUAGGCUAUCAAUCGAAGUCAAUGGGCAUGCUCCAUCCACACCGAGAUCCAUCAAAUCAAGUCUGUAUUACCACCUACACUGCUUGUAGAGAAUUGACCCAAGACAGUUUUCACACCCCAAUGCACCAUGGUGCCCAUUGCUUUUAUUCUACUCAUGGUUUGCUGGUAAUUUACUUAAGGGGCAGAUAGUUGGAGUGAUCGGAGCAGGUUAUAUUGGAUGAAAGAAUAAAAUCUAUUGUUUCUAUGCUUAUUUCCAAUUUAGUUUAUUCUUUGAUGCACUUAAUGAUUUGUUAUUGAUGGCCUUGAUACAUGAAAUCUAGAAACUCCUGCAUCAAAAACCAAUGAGAACAAAUGGAUAAGAAUGAAGUGCAACCACAAGGUCCUUCCCAAUGCUCCAAAGACAAUGGCCACAUCAAAAGAACAGGAUGCUUGACUUUCACUCCACUUGCUCCCUACUCUGUUGUCAACGCUCUUGCCCCUUUAAUCCUCAUGAUUGGGGUCAGCAUGGUGAAAGAGGCCAUCGAAGAUUGGAAGUGGAAAACGCAGGUAAUUUCCUUUCUGAAUUGAUAUUAUUAGUACUUCUUUGUAUAUCUGUAAUAUAUAUCUGUAUGCAUUGCUAUUGAUAGUGGAUAAUU